rnacentral:rRNA from 1 species
GACGAACGCUGGCGGCGUGCUUAACACAUGCAAGUCGAACGGAAAGGCCUGCUUUCCCUUGUGGAUUGCGGGUACUCGAGUGGCGAACGGGUGAGUAACACGUGAGUGAUCUGCUCCCAACUUGGGUAUAAGCCUGGGAAACUGGGUCUAAUUCCCGAUAGGACUGCAGGGUGGUGCCUGUGGUGGAAAACGAUUUUCUAGUGGUUGGGGAUGAGCUCGCGGCCUAUCAGCUUGUUGGUGGGGUAAUGGCCUACCAAGGCGGCGACGGGUAGCCGGCCUGAGAGGGUGGACGGCCACAUUGGGACUGAGAUACGGCCCAGACUCCUACGGGAGGCAGCAGUGGGGAAUAUUGCACAAUGGGCGGAAGCCUGAUGCAGCGACGCCGCGUGGGGGAUGACGGCCUUCGGGUUGUAAACUCCUUUCGACCGCGAGGAAGCCACCUGGUUGGAAGGGUGGUGACGGUAGUGGUAGAAGAAGCACCGGCUAACUACGUG